GUUGUUAUUCCUCUAUCCGUCUCAUCUUCUUCUUAUUUCUCUCCCUCUCUCAGACGCCGAAACUAGGGCUAGAGAUUUGGGGUCUCUGGAUUUAAUGAUAUUGGGUUAAAGAUCAACUAAAGGUUGAAGUAUGGGGUUCUAGUAUCAAUCGUGGUUUAAAUUUGAAUCAUUGAAAGUCUAAAAUCUCCAUUAUAUAUAACCCUAAUUGUAAAAAGUCAUAGUUGCUAUGCAUAUGAAGUAUGAAUCAUUGGAAAAUAAAUAUGUGACAGAUAAGUUUGCUAAGAUUGACUGGUUCAUGGAAAAAUACAAGGAAGAAAGGAAGAAGAUGAGCAUUGAGUCAUCGAUUUAACUCGAAGACGGCUCAUAAUGGUAACUCGGCACGAUGAAUCAUCGGGGGUGACAUUUACUCACUUCGAUAACUGACACGUGUCCACUUAACUGCAACAACCCGUCUUUCUCAAAAAAUGAUAUGAAAAAGGUCAAUGUCGGCCAUUUUAUAUAACGGUUUGGGAAAACGGUCACUUACUUCAAUAUGUUUCAAAAAGUUUGUCAUUUUUCUUUCUUUUAUGUGAAGGUUAAAAUAAGGAACAGGAAGGUAACAUAAUAUACAGUUUCCUUAUGAUUAGGGCUUAGUUUUGUUGUUUUUUAUGAGAAUUUUGUUCCUUCCUAUAAGUUUUAGUUCAUUACGUAUGUAUACCUUACAACUUUUCAUCUUCACAGAUGCAUUAGUGGUCAUCGAAGAUAUUCCAUAAGUAUAUUUUAAUUUUGAUUAUUGGAAAAAUGUUAUG